rnacentral:lncRNA from 1 species
UCGGCCUUAAACUGUGAGUUUUGUUUUUUAAUCUGUGAUAUUUUUGUGGUCCUCUUUCCAGUGUUUCUGAGCUGCUGUGAGAACGUGAAAUAUAGGCUCUGGUGGCAGUUCAAUCAGUGCCCUCCUCAGAGGCAAGAGGUCUUUCUUACAGCCACUUGAUAUUCCAGGGUUUUUUUAUAUAUCUUUCUUUCUUUUUUUUACAGCCUAGCACCGAACACACAUUGGAGCAGGAGUUUUCAGUGAUCUCUAGGCUUGUUUCUGAGUGGUUAUUCUCCAAGGUUGUGCAUUUUUGUUCUGUUCACAGUGUCAGAUGGGAUGCAUCUUUUAGUGCUUUSUUUUAAAUAUAGGACAAAGAAUAAAGAAGUACGUCUUCCUUUUUUGAAMUGGUAU